rnacentral:rRNA from 1 species
CAGAGGUCCCGAGCGUUGUUCGGAUUCACUGGGCGUAAAGGGUGCGUAGGCGGUCGGGUAAGUCUGAUGUGAAAUCUCACAGCUUAACUGUGAAACUGCAUUGGAUACUAUUCGGCUUGAGGUCUGGAGGGGGGACUGGAAUUCUCGGUGUAGCAGUGAAAUGCGUAGAUAUCGAGAGGAACACCAGUGGCGAAGGCGAGUCCCUGGACAGGUCCUGACGCUGAGGCACGAAAGCUAGGGGAGCAAACAGGAUUAGAUACCCUGGUAGUCCUAGCCGUAAACGGUGCUUAUUUGCUGUAAAAGGAAUCGACCCCUUUUGUGGCGUAGCAAACGCGUUAAAUAAGCCGCCUGGGAAGUACGGUCGCAAGAUUA